rnacentral:rRNA from 1 species
CCUACGGGAGGCAGCAGUGGGGAAUAUUGGACAAUGGGCGAAAGCCUGAUCCAGCCAUGCCGCGUGUGUGAAGAAGGCCUUCGGGUUGUAAAGCACUUUCAGUGGGGAAGAAAGCCUUGGGGCUAAUACCCUCGAGGAAGGACAUCACCCACAGAAGAAGCACCGGCUAACUCCGUGCCAGCAGCCGCGGUAAUACGGAGGGUGCGAGCGUUAAUCGGAAUUACUGGGCGUAAAGCGCGCGUAGGCGGUCUGAUAAGCCGGUUGUGAAAGCCCCGGGCUCAACCUGGGAACGGCAUCCGGAACUGUCAGGCUAGAGUGCAGGAGAGGAAGGUAGAAUUCCCGGUGUAGCGGUGAAAUGCGUAGAGAUCGGGAGGAAUACCAGUGGCGAAGGCGGCCUUCUGGACUGACACUGACGCUGAGGUGCGAAAGCGUGGGUAGCAAACAGGAUUAGAUACCCGAGUUGU